GUACUACUCCCUCCGUCCGGAAAUACUUGUCAUCAAAAUGAAUAAAAAAGGAUGUAUCUAGAUGUUUUUUAGUUCUAGAUACAUCCCUUUUUGUCCAUUUCGAUGACAAAUAUUUCCGGACGGAGGGAGUACUAA
rfam:Triticum urartu cultivar G1812 contig918402, whole genome shotgun sequence.